AGUGGGAGGGUGACAGGGCGGGACAACGUUCACACGGGCAGCCACCCACCCCGCAGCACACGUGGGGCUGACCUGGCUGGGGGCUCUGGGGCAGGGUGGAGGCCAGAGAUGGGUCUUACCUCUGGUGGGGAGAAUCAGGCCAAAGAUGGUGAGAAGACACAGGCGACCAGAGGGCGACAUCUGUGGGACCAGGCGAUGCUGGGGUCAGCCAUGACGUCAGUGAGGCCGACCUCCGGCAGCCCCCGGGGAUCCUGCAGCCCCUUCCCUGCCCUGAGCAAACACCUCUGGCUUCCAGGACCCCCUGCCAGGGCUGACGGCUGGCCUCAGGGGAAAGAGGAGGGUCUUAGGUGGGGAUACCAAAACGUCACCCUGCUUCCUUCCCCUGCAGGUCCCCAAAGAAAACAAGAAGCAUGAGAUAAAUGGGUCUCCCAGCAGCUGCAAGGGCCGGCGUGCACUCCUGAAGCAGAGAAACACCUCCCUGCGCCUUCCGCCAGGCGCUUAUCCCUCACUGGGACUGACGCAAGGAGGGGACUGGGGCAGAGGAGUAGAUAGGAGGCCUCUUCCCUCCCCCAGGGGCCCAGAGCCCAGGAGUCGGCGAGGAGGGGAAGGAGGAAGAGUGAGUAACGCCUCCUGCGCUCAGAGGAAAAAGAUCCAGAUGGAGCCACUCGCCCAAUCAUUUCUUUGUGGAAGUCAGAUACAGACCCCUUGGUUUGGAUGAUGUGGCCUCACGGCAGGCCGCAAGGCUGGAAGAGCAUAGCUCAAGCUGGAUUCCAGCCCCUACUCACUCCAUCAGUCAGCACCAUCCUCUAUGCAGUGUACAAUCCACCCAAACUGCAUGGCAGUCCUGGUUCUGGACCCCUGUGGAGGUCUGAUGCAAGCUAUGGACUCAUUCCCUGAAAAACACAGAUGCACUCCCACUUGCACAUGAUGUCAUGAGGUUAAAACAGACCCCAUUUCCACUGGUGGACCAAUGAAUGUCUCAGCUUCCCCUAAACACUCCCUAAACACCUGAGGGCUCCGACAGGCACCUGCUGCUACUGCUGACAUCCACUCACUCCUGACACUCCAUCCAGUACAGGGAAGCUGUGCUGAUUCAUACCCCACAUUACUUAUUUCUUUUUCUUUCCUCCUUCCCUCCCUCCCUCCCUCCUUUCUUUCUUUUUCUUUCUUCUUUCUUUCUUUCUUUCUUUCUUUCUUUCUUUCUUUCUUUCUUUCUUUCUUUUUUCUUUCUUUCUUUUUUUUUCUUUCUUUCUCUUUCUUUCUCCUUCCUUCCUUCCUUCCUUCCUUCCUUCCUUCCUUCCUUCCUUCCUUCCUUCUUUCUUUCUUUCCUUCUUUCCUUCUUUCUUUCUUUUUUUGAGACGGGGUCUUGCUCUGUCGCCCAGGCUGGAGUGCAGUGGUGCCAUCUCAGCUCACUGCAACCUCCACCUCCCAGGUUCAGGCAAUUCUCCUGCCUCAGCCUCCCAAGGACUGGGACUAUAGGUGUGCACUACCACUGCUGGCUAAUUUUUGUAUUUUUAGUAGAGACGGGAUUUCACCAUGUUGGUUGGGCUGGUCUCAGACUCCUGACUUCCGAUGAUCUGCCUGCCUCAGCCUCCCAUAGUGCUGGGAUUACAGAUGUGAGCCACCGUGCCUGGCCCAUUAUUACUUAUUUCUAAGACACCAUCAAGUUUAAGAUUCAAAAUUGAGUUUGUAAUAGUUUUCCCUGUGUGUGUGUGUGUGUAUGUAAAUAUGUUUGGAACUCUACCCCGUGAAAUGUCCCCAUCCAUUAGAAGACGCAUAAUGAUUUCAGAAAUGUUCACAUGUGGAUAAAAUGUGUGUGUAUCUCUGGGUUCACUUUUCUCUGCUUCCCACCUUCCUGGCCCUAAUCACGUUCCCCUGCAGGAGAGCUCAGAACAUCCUUCCCAUUCAACAAGUUCAUCCUGAUGGCUCUCGAAUGCCUCUGACAGUUCUUGUUAUAUUUGGCCUUCCCUAGAGCAGAAUUUGGCAGCAGACUGUCUGCCACAUGGGGAGAGGGUGAAGGGUGCCAGGGUGAUGCCUGAUGUCAUUGGUGUUCUCCUUCCCCCUUCCAGGCUCAGAGAUGGAUGGCUCCCUGGAGGUUGGGUAGGGCCAUGUGACUAAUUCUGGCCAAGGAACUGUGAGUAGAAGUGCACUGUCACUUCCAGGCUGGGGCAUUUAAACAUUCAGGAACAUUCAGGCCUCCAGGCCAAAGCUCUGUUUCACUUCUAGCCUGGUGGCCUGAAUGUUCACGAUGGUGACUGCUCUAGUUUUCUUUGGUGACUGGUCAACCUGUGAUGGACGUAUACGUGAACCUGGUUGUCAUAAGCCCCUGAAACUUUUGGUACUGUUUGUUACCACAGCAUACUCUAGCCGAAACUGACUGAUAGAGGUGGCCCCAAAGCAACACCCGUUUGUUACCGCAGCAUUCUCUAGCCGAAACUGACUGAUAGAGGUGGCCCCAAAGCAAGACCAUGAUUCACACAAUGUGUAAGUUUACCCUUCCCAGGUCUCUGUCCAGUCUUCAAAGAGGAUGUCUUAGGUUGGUGCUGAGGUAUCUUUAACAUCUUCCAACCCUUGUUAAUCUCCCUGUUUACCUAAGAGAAAACAGGCCUUGGGCUCCAGGUCUUCAGCAGGCAAUAAAAUCUAGGCAGAAUUUUGUGGCA